GACAUAUAUAUCACACCCAAUCAAGAUAAACACUAUACCAACUAUCUUCCCAAUUUUCCUUUUGACUUUCAGAAUUCUCCAUCCUCAAGCAACCACUGGCCUGCUUUCUGUCACUCUAGAUUUCGUUUGCAUCUUCUAGAACUUUACGUAAAUGGAGUCAUACAUAUGUAUCUUCUCUUUGUCUAGGUUUUCUUUAAGUC